rnacentral:tRNA from 1 species
GGGCCGUUAGCUCAGUUGGCUAGAGCACCUGCUCGACACGCAGGGGGUCACUGGUUCAAGUCCAGUACGGCCCACCA